rnacentral:rRNA from 1 species
GCGGCCGCGAAUUUCGCCCUUUGUGCCAGCCGCCGCGGUAAUACAGAGGGUGCAAGCGUUAAUCGGAAUUACUGGGCGUAAAGCGAGCGUAGGUGGCUUGAUAAGUCAGAUGUGAAAUCCCCGGGCUUAACCUGGGAACUGCAUCUGAUACUGUUAGGCUAGAAUAGGUGAGAGGAAGGUAGAAUUCCAGGUGUAGCGGUGAAAUGCGUAGAGAUCUGGAGGAAUACCGAUGGCGAAGGCAGCCUUCUGGCAUCAUAUUGACACUGAGGUUCGAAAGCGUGGGUAGCAAACAGGAUUAGAUACCCUGGUAGUCCACGCCGUAAACGAUGUCUACUAGUCGUUGGGUCCCUUGAGGACUUAGUGACGCAGCUAACGCAAUAAGUAGACCGCCUGGGGAGUACGGCCGCAAGGUUAAAACUCAAAUGAAUUGACGGGGGCCCGCACAAGCGGUGGAGCAUGUGGUUUAAUUCGAUGCAACGCGAAGAACCUUACCUGGUCUUGACAUAUCUAGAAUCCUGCAGAGAUGCGGGAGUGCCUUCGGGAAUUAGAAUACAGGUGCUGCAUGGCUGUCGUCAGCUCGUGUCGUGAGAUGUUGGGGUUAAGUCCCGCAACGAGCGCAACCCUUGUCCUUAGUUACCAGCGGGUUAAGCCGGGAACUCUAAGGAUACUGCCAGUGACAAACUGGAGGAAGGCGGGGACGACGUCAAGUCAUCAUGGGCCCUUACGACCAGGCUACACACGUGCUACAAUGGUAGGUACAGAGGGCAGCUACACAGCGAUGUGAUGCGAAUCUUUCAAAGCCUAUCGUAGU